AGGUCAGAAUUUACUCAUACUUUGAAUUGUAUAGUUGUGUGUUGUUUGCUUUGAUAUAUUUAUAUUUGUGGACAUCUUUGAUUCCAUUAUCAGGUCAGUUUUCUCUACUUAAUAUGUCACAUUCAUACUAAAAUACUGAUAUGAAUAGAUUGUAUAGAUGAUUUGGUAUGAAUGGUCAGAAUGAAUGAUUUCAGAGUAAAAGGUGUAUAAAAUAGAUUAAAACAUAUAAAAGUAUAUUAAAUAUUGUUUAAAUCAGUUUAACUAAAUUGACACAGUCAAACAAAUCAUUUUGUAAGUAUUUAAGCCAUAAACAGUAAAAUUAUAUGAAUUACUCAGUUUAGUGAAAAGAAGUAAUAGUAAAGAUAUAAAAUAGUAAUUUGUAUGUUAAGACAUAUUUUAAACUAUUAAAUGAUUUGAUAAUUUGAUACGUAAACUAUAAACACAAAUAGUUAUGAUAAUAUUUUUAUUACAGAUAUUUGAACCAUACUGUUCGUAUAUCAUGUAGAAGAUUCCAUAUUGUAAAUACAGGACCUAUGUACCUCAUACAUGGGUCAUUUCUUAUAUUACACAAUAAAACGAAUCCAUUGAU